CCCCUGUCUACCUGUGUAAAUACUGUUCUUAAUAAAGCUUGCAAAUGGAUCCCCGCUCUGCCGACCCAUCAUUACAAUCAUCAUGUCUAUGGAAUGUCCACAUGAAAAAUAGAAACCCAAUGUGUGUGUGUGAGCAUGAGGCGCUGUUCUGAACCUGCAGAGAGCCCCGCAAACCAGUGGAGCGAACCAAACGACAUUUAUCAGCUCUGUGAGGAGAGGGAGAGGGGGGAGGGGAAAGAAUUGUUGCAAUUGAUGCAUAUUCUGUAUAUUCUUGCUAAUGUAAUCAGCAGUUUCACACAGAUCCUAUCAACCACCAGAGGACAAGUGAUGCACUCUAGAGCCACAUAAGUACUCACCUGGACACCACAAUGCCCAUGGUUUUGGAUGGGAGUCAUUCGGGACCGAAGCUCUCUCUCUCUCUCUCUCUUCUAUGGGCCAAAAGGUAAGAGAGAGAAUACAACCAUCCUGAUACACACACUCAAACCAAACACCAGGCAAAAUACACAAGCAAGCUACAGCAUUUCUCUGCUCCGAUACAUCCAAAAUCUACCACAAAGAACAGGAAUGGAAGUAGAAUUUUACAUCCUUGUGGUUGUUAAAUCGUUCUCUGCAUGUCACUGUGGAAAAAAACAACUACUUUUUUUCUUUUUUCUUUCCAUUCUACUCUCUCCCUCCCUCCUUGUCAGGUCCUUAUUUUAGUGUGUUGCCAGGGUAAUGCAGUACAGUGAAGUGCUCUACAUAAGCAGGGGUGAGCUGGCCAUGACAGGUCAGAGUGUCACACACUUGUGAAUGAGAGUGAAAUAAUAGUCUCUUAUGCUCACCAAUUAGGCAGCAUUUUUAAAAAUACAGUCAAAAUAUUGUGAAAUAUUGAAUAAAAAAAAAAUGAACUAAAGAACUGUCUUCUAUUCAUUUAUUCUUGUGAUGUCAAAGCUGAAAUUUCAGCAGCCUCCAGCGUCACAUGAUUCUUCAGAGGAGUGUUGCAUAUUGUUUAAAAUACUGUUGUUUAUUUACUCAUGUACACUCAUCAAUCCAAGCCUUUAUCCUGUUAUUUUUUGUAUUUUAUUUUUAGUUUUUUUGAAAGAGGUUUAAUGAAAUACAAUACAGUAAAAACAGUAAUAUUGUAAAAUAUUAAUACAAUUUUAAAGAAUUGUUUUCUAUUUUAAUAUAUUUGAAUUCAGCAGCCCUUAGUCUUCAGUGUGCACUUGAUCUUUCAGAAAUCAUUCUAAUAUGCUGAUUUGGUGCUCAAGAAACAUUUAUUAUGAUUAUCAAUGUUGAAAACAGUUUUUGUUCCUCAAUAUUUUUGUUGAAACCAUCUGUGAUACACAAACAGUCAAAAGUUUGGGAUGAGUAAGAUUGAAAAAAGGAAGCAUUCAAUUGAUCUAAAGUGACAAUAAAGACAUUUAUAAUGUUACAAAAGAUUUCGGAAACAAGUCACCUUUCAAGUCACCUUUAUUUAUAUAGCGCUUUUUACAAUGCAGAUUGUGUCAAAGCAGCUUUACAGUGAUAAAUGGUAUAUAAUUUUGGCUGCACAGCAGCUCUUAAAGAAAAUGCUGUCAAUGUAGGCAGAUGCAAAGCACUGUUGAAUAUCAAAUGUCAAGUGUCCCCAACUAAGCAAGCCAAAGGCGACAGCGGCAAGGAACCCAAACUCCAACAGGUGACAUCAGGUGGCAAACAGGUGGCAAAUAGGUGUUAAAAUGGAGAAAAAAACCUUGGGAGAAACCAGGCUUAGUCGGGGGGCCAGUUCUCCUCUGGCAAACAGUGCUUUGUUACGAUUCAGGUAGCUAUUAUAAGCCCGAUAGGAUCACAACAUUCAAAGUAUUUAUUCCAGUUCAAUCCAGUUCAAUCCAUCGUAUUCAUCACGCCGGUAUGGACGGUUUGUUGAGGAACUGUGCCACUGGCUGUCAUGUCGAUGAGGCCUUCACAAUGGAUGAUCUAGUUGACUCAAUCUCUGCUGACACUUCAGGGGUGCGUUGUGGUCGUGUCAAGGCGUAGGUCCUCAAUCUCACCUGGAUACGGCCUGGAUCCGGUUGACUACGGUAAACCUCGGGAUAAACAGAAAGACUAAUAUUAGCGUAGAUGCCAUUCUUCUUCUGAUGUAAUGAG